GCAAUAGAUACCCAGGUAGUCCACGCCGUAAACGAUGAAUACUAGGUGUAGGAGGUAUCGACUCCUUCUGUGCCGCAGUUAACACAAUAAGUAUUCCGCCUGGGGAGUACGGUCGCAAGAUUAAAACUCAAAGGAAUUGACGGGGGCCCGCACAAGCAGCGGAGCAUGUGGUUUAAUUCGAAGCAACGCGAAGAACCUUACCUAGACUUGACAUCCCCUGAAUUACUCGUAACUGAGGAAGCCCUUCGGGGCAGGGAGACAGGUGGUGCAUGGUUGUCGUCAGCUCGUGUCGUGAGAUGUUGGGUUAAGUCCCGCAACGAGCGCAACCCUUAUCAUUAGUUGCUACCAUUAAGUUGAGCACUCUAAUGAGACCGCCCGGGUUAACCGGGAGGAAGGUGGGGAUGACGUCAAAUCAUCAUGCCCCUUAUGUCUAGGGCUACACACGUGCUACAAUGGUGAGUACAGAAAGAUGCAAUCCCGGUGAGGGGGAGCAAAACUCAAAAACUCAUCCCAGUUCGGAUUGUAGGCUGAAACUCGCCUAC
rnacentral:rRNA from 1 species